GUUUGCUGUAGCUUCACCUCUCAAAUCGACCUCACUGCACUCUUGUUUGUAUGUUUUAAUUUCUUAGGCCUUGAUUUCAAUAAUAUUGACCGAAAAUUUAAAGAUUUGCUGUUCUGUUUAAAUGCUCAAUUAAUUCGGAUCUGUAUGUCUUUAGUUUGAUUUAAAUUUUGGUUUUUUUCCUUUUAUUUUUUCAAUAUUAUUUGAUGCUGCCAUUUCAGUUCUAGAAUACAUUUGAUUUCUGCUCAUUUUGGUUUGCUGGUAAUGAAGUGUUGGAUUAGAUAUCUCCACUGUUAAUUACUCGGCUCAAUAUCAUUUGCUUGCUAAAAAGAUGCUAACUGUGGUUUAGUUUUCGAUUCUGCAGCUUAUUUUAUGUAUAGCAGUUGAGUCAUUAACUCUCUGGG
rnacentral:misc_RNA from 1 species